UAUUGAUGAUGAGGAGAGCAAGUUUUGGGCAUACCCUUAAACCUCUCCCAAGCUUGGUAGAGAUUCUUUCCAUCCUUUUGUCUAAAACUCAAGAUUUUACUUCUCAAGUG
rfam:Capsicum annuum cultivar Zunla-1 chromosome 3, whole genome shotgun sequence